CCGAAAUGUGUUGCGAAUGCUAAGCGAUGGAAACGAAGAAAGAAGUUAAGAAGAUAAGAGAGUUUGUAAGAAGGUACUUUAUUGCUUAAGUGCUUGUUGGAUUUCUUGGAUGAUUACAAAUGAGGAUCCUACCUCUAUUUAUACUAGUCCAUUUCCUCAAUGGACGGUGGAGAUCUAUUUGAUCUAACGGUUGGGAGUGGUUCUCUAGAACACUCCAAAGAAUUCCUAAAAUAUCUCUACCUACCUCUACCUACCUCUAUACAUUUGGGCCAACUUGGGCUUAACCCUAUUAAGGCUAAAUCUUGGACUUUUUAACCUCCCCAACCCAAGGGAAAUUGGCAAGGGGUUGGGCCAAAACUAGCGGGCCGUGACAAUAUGCUCACUGCAACCAGAGAAACAGUUCCGCAUGAUCUUGGAGGUUAUGCUAUUCUAGAUGAUUUACGCAAUCAGAUAUCUAUAAUUGACAUUCAAAAUUUUAAUCAUAAUUUAUUCUUUUACCGUUUCAUCUCUAACAAGAAUAGUUGAGACAGGUUGGAGAAAUUAUUCAAUUUCCUGUUGCACCUCUCUAUGUUGGAGUAAUAAGAAGUAGAGGAGCUACAUAUGGAGUGGAAAUAGCACCACCGAUGCGAUUUCACGGGCUCCAUAAAUUUUUGGAGUAAGUUUUAUUUUGUUCUGCUCGACUCAUUUAUUUACAAAUUCUCUUUCUUGAUGAGGCGAAAAUUUCUUGCCUUAUUCGUCUUUGUAACUGUCCAGAGAAUGAGCAACUUUUUUUUUUCUUUUCUUUUUGGCCUUUCAGAUGCGAAGAAGAGUACCUAGGUGUGAAUGAUGGUAUUAGAUCUGGAGCAAAAUUCUGUUUCUACAUCCCCGAUUCACAAGCUGCUUUGUCAUCUAGG
rnacentral:lncRNA from 1 species